AUGCCGCCGCUCCAGCUACUCCUCAUCCUUCUCCCGCUCUCCGCUUCCUUUCUCCGGCUGCCGGCGCCGGCCGGCGCUGCCUGCUCGCCCAAGACAUGCGGCGACCUGAACAUCACAUACCCGUUCUGGCUGGAGGAGGGCGGCGGCCGGCCGCCAUGCGGGUCCCCGUCCUUCCAGCUCAACUGCAACGGCAGGCACGCGUUCCUCAGCCGCUCCAUGUUCGGGCGCUACCAGGUCGCCCGGGUCUUCCCCGAGAACAACUCCCUGGUCGCCGUGAACCACAACCUCCUCGUCCCGCCCCGCGCCGGCUGCCCGCCGUGGUGGUUCAACAUCUCGCUGGGCCUCGGGCUGGGGCCCUACACCAUCAACAGGAAGAACAGGGAGGUCCUCGUCCUCUACAACUGCACCGAGCCGCAGCAGGUGGCUCCGCCGGGGUUCAACCGCACGCGCUGCGCCGACGGGUCCUUCUUCCGGCUUGGCGGGGAGUAUGGCAGCCACCGCGAGCUGGGCGUUGUCCCGUCGGCCUGCAGUCUCUCCGUCGUGCCGGUUCUUGGUUUUCCGGACGGCGACGACGACUAUGUCCAGAGCAUGAGGCAGGGGUUCCUGCUCGAGUGGACGGUGCCGUCGGACGACUGCCCCGAGUGCGAGGCAAGCGGCGGGCAGUGCAGGUACGCCGGCGACGGCACCGGGUUUUCCUGCGGUUGCGCCGGCGUCGCCCACCGCGAGAAGUGCGGUGAGUUGACGAAAAUUAACUGA
rnacentral:rRNA from 1 species